GGUGGGGUGGCUGGAGAACGGGAGCCCGGCUGCAAGCCCUCUGUUCCCCUCUGCAGCGUCGAACCCGGCAAGUGCAGGAAGCAUCUGGACUGCCCAGCCCUGGGCCACGGCACUCGGAGGAUGUGCCUGAGGAGAGGACGUUCAGCGAGUGAAGGUUUGCGAGGAGACGCCCAGGGGGCAAAUAAAGCCAGGCCACAGCACAGGAGCCCCAUCCUGGCAGCCGGCCUUGGCCGCCAGCACCUGUGUCCGGAGUCGGGUCCGCCCGUCCUCGCCGCGCGCGCCCCGGCCAGUCCAGCCUCACCAUGCCGGUCAAAGGAGGCACGAAGUGGAUCAAGUACCUGCUCUUCGGAUUUAACUUCAUC